UUAUGUGUGGAGAGCUUUCACUGAACACCAUAAUCAAAUUUUUUGAUGGAGAUGGGCCUGUAGAGGCUUUUUGCACCUCUUUUGUUGUCAGUUUGUGUUCCUGCCUCGUCUCCAGGCCAGCCUUGACUCCUUUAAUAGUGGGUGGAAUAACCAGAGAGUAAUUGAAGCCCAGACCAGUUGUGGGAAAUUGGACUUCUGCAAAACCCUAUCACUCCUCCAGUCCUAUCUGAGAUUGCACAAGACGGCGACUCUGACUGGGACACAGACAGUAUCUCUGACCAGCCGUGGACAGGAAUUGUAGUUCCUCCAGUCGAAUGCCUUAAGGCCCAAAUUCAAACUUUUUUUUAACCCAGCCUCACACUCUCAAAACUAUGGAAGAGACCAUUAUUUAGAAGUUUUAUAUUUUGUGCUGCUUCAUUCUUAAUUGACACUAAAUCAAUCAUUGAAAUGACUAGUGACCAAAUGAUCCAUUUACAAGCAAAUUAACAU